CAUGUACUCCCUCCGUCCGAAAAUACUUGUCCGAGGAAUGGAUGUAUCUAGAUGUAUUUUAGUUCUAGAUACAUCCAUUUGUAUCCAUUUCUACGACAAGUAUUUCCGGACGGAGGGAGUAUUAA
rnacentral:pre_miRNA from 1 species